GACUGGGAUAACUCCGGGAAACCGGGGCUAAUACCGGAUAAUAUUUUGAACCGCAUGGUUCAAUAGUGAAAGACGGUUUCGGCUGUCACUCCCCAGAUGGACCCGCGCCGUAUUAGCUAGUUGGUAAGGUAACGGCUUACCAAGGCGACGAUACGUAGCCGACCUGAGAGGGUGAUCGGCCACACUGGAACUGAGACACGGUCCAGACUCCUACGGGAGGCAGCAGUAGGGAAUCUUCCGCAAUGGGCGAAAGCCUGACGGAGCAACGCCGCGUGAGUGAUGAAGGUCUUCGGAUCGUAAAACUCUGUUGUUAGGGAAGAACAAAUUUGUUAUUAACUGAACAAGUCUUGACGGUACCUAACCAGAAAGCCACGGCUAACUACGUGCCAGCAGCCGCGGUAAUACGUAGGUGGCAAGCGUUAUCCGGAAUUAUUGGGCGUAAAGCGCGCGUAGGCGGUUUCUUAAGUCUGAUGUGAAAGCCCACGGCUCAACCGUGGAGGGUCAUUGGAAACUGGGAAACUUGAGUGCAGAAGAGGAGAGUGGAAUUCCAUGUGUAGCGGUGAAAUGCGCAGAGAUAUGGAGGAACACCAGUGGCGAAGGCGGCUCUCUGGUCUGUAACUGACGCUGAUGUGCGAAAGCGUGGGGA
rnacentral:rRNA from 2 species